AAACAGACCUAGCAAGUUUUUGGAUGUUGUUCUUGCCAGAGCAGAACUUCAGUGUCGAUGGAAUACAAGUCUAUCAUAUUUAUAAUACCAAAAGGGAAGGAACAGCUCACGAGUGAAGAACAUCUUCAGAUGAAAUUAAUAUGCGAAUUGGAAAUUCUAUUGGUAAAACAAC